rnacentral:siRNA from 1 species
GACACUGAUGAUGCUAUAAUGGA